AGUGCCGAGAAGGACAUUUUGCCAGAGAGUGUCCACAAGCUGGUGGGGGCGGUGGCAGUGGUCCGUUGACGUCACAAAUAUGGGGAAGGGGCGUUUCUCGAAGGAUUGUCCACAAGGGGGCCGUGGCGGUGGUGGAUGUCGUACCUCCCAUGAGCAAGGGAUUUUCCACAAGGAGGAGGCAUUGGUGGCAGCAAAUGUUACAACUGUCAUGAUGCUGGCCACACUUUGAAAAGCUGCCCAAACCUAUUCAGUGAAUUGACAGAAGAUGGAAAGCUGAGUGAACAAUACAUUCUGGAAGCUGUGACAUGUAAUGAAAAUGAACGGAUUAAGGGCAUCGUCUGUAGGGAACUCUUUAACAAUUUUGCUAAAGUUGUCCUCCAGGUUACAGGAAAAGAUGUACCUCAAUACAUAAAAUCAUUCUAAGAAGCAGGCCUGCGCCCAUUACUACUUCAAAACAUUAAGAAUUCUGGCUACAUAAAACACCUGUUCAGAAAGCUUCA